GGACGGCGGCGCCGGAACCAUUCUCGAGGUCGUUUUCCAUCCAGGGAUGGGAGGGGGAAUGAAGUCGUUCAAGGAGAAAGUCAUGGUGGUGGAUAACGAGAAGCGUGUGAAGGAGGCAGAGGUUGUGGAAGGUGGAUUUCUAGAUCUAGGGUUCACGCUGUAUCGUAUGAGAUUCAAUGUGAUAGAGGUGGAGGGAAACGAGAAGCAAUGUAUAACUCGAUCUACGAUCGAGUACGAGCUCAAAGAAGAAGCUGCAGCGAAUGUUGAAAUCGCUUCCAUU